rnacentral:rRNA from 1 species
GACGAACCGUGCGAACGUUAUUCGGAAUCACUGGGCUUAAAGCGCGUGUAGGCGGGACGGCACGUCGGUCGCUGAAAUCCCCCGGCUCAACCGGGGAACGGGCGCGGAUACGACCUUCCUGGAGGGGCGUAGGGGGACCUGGAACUUCCGGUGGAGCGGUGAAAUGCGUUGAGAUCGGAAGGAACGCCCGUGGCGAAAGCGAGGUCCUGGACGCCUACUGACGCUGAGACGCGAAAGCCAGGGGAGCGAACGGG